rnacentral:snRNA from 1 species
UUGCUUCAGCAGCACAUAGAGUAAAAUCAAAAUAACAUAGAGAGGAUUAGCCUGGCCUCUUGCCAGGUAUGACAUACAGAUUUCUUAAGUGUUUGCUUUUGUU